rnacentral:rRNA from 1 species
UACGUAGGGAGCAAGCGUUGUCCGGAAUCAUUGGGCGUAAAGCGCGCGUAGGUGGCUUCGCAAGUCCGUUGUGAAAGUCAAAGGCUCAACCUUUGAAAGCCGAUGGAUACUGUGAAGCUAGAGUACGGAAGAGGCGAGUGGAAUUCCUGGUGUAGCGGUGGAAUGCGCAGAUAUCAGGAGGAACACCAAUAGCGAAGGCAGCUCGCUGGGACGUUACUGACACUGAGGCACGAAAGCUAGGGGAGCAAACGGG